UUAGAUUGUGUUUUUUCGUCGACCUGUUAGGUUUAAGGAUUAUACACUCGUUUACUGUAUUGUUAGAGCAGUGAUUGUGUGCUUAGUUAUUAGAUUUUGCUUCUAUUCAAGAGCGUAGAGUUCAAUUUAAGUAGGUAUGUUCUUUUAUAUUUAGCUUUUAUUAUCGAAUUUCUAUAAAAUAUUAUAAUAUUGAUUUCUUAAUGAUCAGUUAACUACGUGAUUAUAUAAUAUGUUUUUAAUCUAAAUUAAAUGUGAUUUGUAAAAUAUAGAAGAAAAAAAUUAAAGAAACUUAAAAAAAAAAAUUCAGCCCACCCCAACCUAAAAUCUUAGAUCCGCCAUUACUCUUUUACUCCAAAGCCAUAAUUGACAUAUCCACUAGGCCUCGGGAUGGCCCAAUUUUUUGGUCCAUAAUGACUUUAUGUAUCCUCAAUGUGAUUUAAUGGAGAGAAUUAAUACCAAUAUUAUGUUUUUUGGUGAGAAGAAUACCAACUAUUUGUGAUCACACCAGCUACUGAGAAUUAUGUGAAUUUCAUUGUACAAUAUCAUGUUGUAUUCAAGAAAGAAAGGACAUACAUGCAUAUACAUCUUGCUUUAUAAUGAAGAACUCCAUCUCUAAGAUGAGGCACUUGCAUGUAAUGCUACCAAAGAAGCAUAUAUUCCAUUCUUGAUUUUUGUUAAACUUUCAUGUUUCCCUUUCUCUGCAAUGACUCCAUUUUUUACCACUGCAAUCAAAUCAGAAGCUUUUAUUGUGGAUAACCGAUGGGCAACCACCACUGUGGUUCGAUCAACCAUAACUCGGUCCAGUGCGUCUUGAACCACUCGUUCGGAUUCAGCAUCAAGAGCACUUGUGGCUUCAUCUAGUAGUAAUAUCUUUGGUGCCUUCAUUAUA
rnacentral:lncRNA from 1 species